GGUUGAAGUGUUUUUAUGAGAGCUAAUUAGUUGUUCCAACCAGCUCUAUGAGGUAGGUCAGUAUUUUUAUCAUCCCUGUUUUGGAAAUUACAUUAAAUCGGUGCAUGCAUCAUUAAAAAAAUCUUAAACUUCUAGAGAUUUGGAAGCAUUCUGUGACUGGAGACGAUGCUCAGGCAGCGAUCACACCUAACACAAAGUUCUAAUGGCAGGGCAGCGGAGAGCGGAUCGCCCUUGUGCUUCCCAGUGUAGCCAGUGAAAGUCAAGUCUUUUUAUUUUUACUGGUUUCGAUGCUUGCACACAAACAAUGUGGCAGUUAAUGUGUUAGGUUCUUUUGUAUAUCAGUCAGGGUGCAUUUGAGAAAAUCAAGCUCCUUCUAGAUAUUUCAAACAAGUUUGAUACAAAAAAAUUGGUUACGCAUGUUUUGAAUGGAUUAUAAGAACAAAUGGAAGGAUUAGGUGCUGGGAGAGCAAUGAAAAAUAAGCGGUGAUACCAAGAAACCAGUAACUUCAGGAAUCUGUCCUGCUUCCAGCUCUGGGGGAACAAGAGUGGGGAGAUCUAGUUCGUAAAGUCUUAGAGCACCAUUGCUGCUGGGCUGGAACCACGCAGAGGAGCCCCACGUCAGGAGCUAGAAUCACAGGGGGAGGCACCCACCUCCAGAGCCGCUGCCAAAGCAGGAAGGAACAGCUUCUCCUCUGCUCCCACCCUCUGAUCUUGCACCAGUGCUUCCUAUGGGUAGAAACUCAUAGGAAGUCAGCAGCGAGGGAGCCUGGCCAUGUGGGUUGCAAGUUUCUAGCUCUAGCUUUACGCAGCUAAAUGGAGAAGGGUGGCUGCAGGGCUGAGAGAGAGCGGGUAACUAACUGGCUCUCUUGUAAAUUCUCUGAUUUUUCCUGGAGGCUCAGGGAGAUUUAGGAGAUUGCUGCAGGCCUUUACACUAGCAAGUGGUGGAGCUGCUCUUCAAGCCCAGGUUUCCCAGCUCCAAGGCUAAGUGUGUUCCAGGCGCCACCCUUGAUCUCUCGCAAUCUUAGCGUGCUCACCUUCCCAACGAGGCUCCGGUGUCGGUGGUAAGAAUGUUCAUCUCUUUCUAUCUUCAAGGUGGAAUGAGGAUUAAACCAGGUCCUUCAUGAAGAAGUGCAUCAUCGCUCAUUUCAUACACCUGGAAAGAUUGGCAGGCAUAAAGAAGAGAAGUGGCAGCCAGCCUGGCCUUCAGACUGGAAAGAAGCAUGUUUUCUAAAGAAUGAAAACAUUCUUUGCUGGCUGGCUGUGCUAGAAACCCAGUAGAGACCAACA
rnacentral:lncRNA from 1 species